rnacentral:rRNA from 1 species
UUUUUUGAGAGUUUGAUACUAGCUCAGGAUGAACGCUCGCUGUGUGCCUAAUACAUGCAUGUUGAACGGGAUGUAGCAAUACAUUCAGUAGCGAAUGGGUGAGUAACACGUACCUAACCUACCUUUAAGACUGGGAUAACUAUUGGAAACAAUAGCUAAUACCGGAUAUAGUUAUUUAUCGCAUGAUGAGUAAUAGAAAGGAGCUUCACAGCUUCACUUAAAAAUGGGGGUGCGGAACAUUAGUUAGUUGGUAGGGUAAUGGCCUACCAAGACGAUGAUGUUUAGCCGGGCCGAGAGGCUGUACGGCCACACUGGGACUGAGAUACGGCCCAGACUCCUACGGGAGGCAGCAGUAAGGAAUUUUCCACAAUGAGCGAAAGCUUGAUGGAGCGACACAGCGUGCAGGAUGAAGUUCUUCGGAAUGUAAACUGCUGUUAUAAGGGAAGAAAAAAUAGAAUAGGAAAUGAUUUUAUCUUGACGGUACCUUAUUAGAAAGCGACGGCAAACUAUGUGCCAGCAGCCGCGGUAAUACAUAGGUCGCAAGCGUUAUCCGGAAUUAUUGGGCGUAAAGCGUCCGUAGGUUUUUUGCUAAGUCUGGAGUUAAAUGCUGAAGCUCAACUUCAGUCCGCUUUGGAUACUGGCAAAAUAGAAUUAUAAAGAGGUUAGCGGAAUUCCUAGUGAAGCGGUGGAAUGCGUAGAUAUUAGGAAGAACACCAAUAGGCGAAGGCAGCUAACUGGUUAUAUAUUGACACUAAGGGACGAAAGCGUGGGGAGCAAACAGGAUUAGAUACCCUGGUAGUCCACGCCGUAAAC